rnacentral:rRNA from 1 species
AUUGAACGCUGGCGGCAGGCCUAACACAUGCAGGUCGAGCGGAUGAAGGGAGCUUGCUCCUGGAUUCAGCGGCGGACGGGUGAGUAAUGCCUAGGAAUCUGCCUGUUAGUGGGGGAUAACGUCCGGACACGGGCGCUAAUACCGCAUACGUCCUGAGGGAGAAAGUGGGGGAUCUUCGGACCUCACGCUAUCAGAUGAGCCUAGGUCGGAUUAGCUAGUUGGUGGGGUAAAGGCCUACCAAGGCGACGAUCCGUAACUGGUCUGAGAGGAUGAUCAGUCACACUGGAACUGAGACACGGUCCAGACUCCUACGGGAGGCAGCAGUGGGGAAUAUUGGACAAUGGGCGAAAGCCUGAUCCAGCCAUGCCGCGUGUGUGAAGAAGGUCUUCGGAUUGUAAAGCACUUUAAGUUGGGAGGAAGGGCAGUAAGUUAAUACCUUGCUGUUUUGACGUUACCAACAGAAUAAGCACCGGCUAACUUCGUG